GACAGCAGUAGCCGCGGGAAUACGAAGGGGGCUAGCGUUGUUCGGAAUUACUGGGCGUAAAGCGCACGUAGGCGGAUAUUUAAGUCAGGGGUGAAAUCCCGCAGCUCAACUGCGGAACUGCCUUUGAUACUGGGUAUCUUGAGUAUGGAAGAGGUUAGUGGAAUUGCGAGUGUAGAGGUGAAAUUCGUAGACAUUCGCAGGAACACCAGUGGCGAAGGCGGCUAACUGGUCCAUAACUGACGCUGAGGUGCGAAAGCGUGGUGAGCAAACAGGAUUAGAUACCCCGGUAGUCCCUGUCUCUUAUAC
rnacentral:rRNA from 1 species